AACGAACGCUGGCGGCAGGCUUAACACAUGCAAGUCGAACGAUGUAGCAAUACAUAGUGGCGCACGGGUGAGUAACGCGUGGGAAUAUACCUUAUAGUGGGGAAUAACGUUGGGAAACUAACGCUAAUACCGCAUACGCCCGAGAGGGGAAAGAUUUAUCGCUAUAAGAUUAGCCCGCGUGAGAUUAGGUAGUUGGUGGGGUAAUGGCCUACCAAGCCUACGAUCUCUAGCUGGUCUGAGAGGAUGAUCAGCCACACUGGAACUGAGACACGGUCCAGACUCCUACGGGAGGCAGCAGUGGGGAAUAUUGGGCAAUGGAGGAAACUCUGACCCAGCCAUGCCGCGUGAAUGAUGAAGGCCUUAGGGUUGUAAAGUUCUUUCGCCGAUGAAGAUAAUGACGGUAGUCGGAGAAGAAGCCCCGGCUAACUUCGUGCCAGCCGCCGCCGUAA
rnacentral:rRNA from 1 species